GGAGUAAUCAACACAUCUAUACAGCAGAAUCAAACUAAGUAGUUUUUUUGGUGAUUUUACAGCAUUUUCUCUUAUGCCACUCCUUGUGAUUUACAUCAUGUGAUGUCACCCAUACAUAUUUAAUUAUGCAAAUUAGCAAGGCCGGUAUGUUUUUUCCAAGAAAGGUGGCAACCCUAACUACUUUUCACAUACUCUUACUUAAGUAUGGAAACUUAAGAGGGAUGUAUGGGAACAAAACUUGUGUGGACUGGCUGACAAUGAAUAUAGUUAAAGGGACACUAGAGUCACCAGAACAACUACAGCUUAUUGAAUUUGUUCUGGUGAGUAGAAUCAUUACCGUCAGGCUUUUUGCUGUAAACACUGUCUUUUCAGAGAAAAUGCAGUCUUUACAUUACAGCUUAGUGAUAACUUCACUGGCCACUCCUUAGAUGGCUGUUAGAGAUCCUUCCUGGGUCAUGGCUGCCUAAAAUGCAUCCAAACAUUCAGUGUCUCCUCCCUCUGCAUGCAGACAGUGAACUUUCCUCAUAGAGAUUCAUUGAUUCAAUUCAUCUC